rnacentral:rRNA from 1 species
UACGAAGGGGGCUAGCGUUGCUCGGAAUCACUGGGCGUAAAGGGUGCGUAGGCGGGUCUUUUAAGUCAGGGGUGAAAUCCUGGAGCUCAACUCCAGAACUGCCUUUGAUACUGGCGAUCUUGAGUCCGGGAGAGGUGAGUGGAACUGCGAGUGUAGAGGUGAAAUUCGUAGAUAUUCGCAAGAACACCAGUGGCGAAGGCGGCUCACUGGCCCGGUACUGACGCUGAGGUGCGAAAGCGUGGGGAGCAAACAGG